rnacentral:rRNA from 1 species
GGGAGCUGUCUCUAAUUAAAAUAUAAAAUUUUAUUUUUAAGUAAAAAAGCUUAAAUUUUUAUAAAAGACGAUAAGACCCUAUAGAGUUUUAUAGUUUGAUUUCUAAUAGGCUUUUAGAGAGAAAAUUAGGGUCAAUUUAUUUGAUUGGGGUGAUUAUAAAAUUAAGGAAACUUUUAUAGUGGUUUACAUAGAUUUAUGGGAAANGAAGAUGAUCCAAUUAUUUUGAUUAAAAGAUUAAAUUACCUUAGGGAUAACAGCGUAAUUUUUUUUAAGAGCUCUAAUCAAUAAAGAAGAUUGCGACCUCGAUGUUGGAUUAAAAUUAAACCUCGGUGCAGAAGCUGAGGGCUU